UCUGCCUUUAGAAACUAUGUACUUCAUCUACUCUAGUGAAAAGAAAGUAAAUCUCAAAUUUAAAAUCCUUGAAGGAAGGAAAUUGUGUAAUUUUUCUCAAUAGACCAUUAGGAUGCAAAGUCAUUAAUCUCUAGGAGAUUUACCCUAUAGCUUCUCUCCACACCUCCUGCUUUUUAAAUGCAUUUUACAGGCUCCAGAUAUCUUGCCAACACUAGUUUAUGGUCUACUAUGUAUCCAAUUGUUGUCAACCUCUGUUACAAGAAAGCCCUGGAGUCCUAAGCCAGCCUUGUAUGCAAUGAAUUCGCUUCACUUUAUGUUAUCUAGAAUGGGACUAGUGACGUAACAUCCAUGGAGAAACUGCACACUGGCUUGCAAUCAUUGUGGGCAGGCGAUCAGCUGGAGCCCCUCAACUGGAACUAUCAAAAGGCAGGUUGUUAUGUUUUAUUAUGAAAUUAAAAGCUAUAUGGAGUUCCAUUUUUAUAUCUGGAGGGUCAGGAUAUAUCUUGUUGUUGUUUUUUUCCACCUGACAUGCAUGACUUACGGAGUGGGUACAACUAUAGAUCUUGUGCCAUGGGUGGUUUUUCCAGAAGAGGGGAUGAAUUCACACCAUGGAGCCAUCUUUUCUUUGCCAAUCAAGUGAACUAACUAGGCAAGUAACACAAUGGAAUAAGAAACAGUUCACCUCCAAAAUUAUCGAUUUACCAUAGGAUACUGGAAAAUGCACACACAGGUAUGUGUACACACACGCGCGCACACACACACACACACACACACACACACACACACGCACUGAGAGGCACACAUUCAGACUGGAGAAGUUCUCAGUUCUGGUGUCUGUAGCCAGGGACUGAACCUAGGACCUCAUUUAUAUAUGUCCCGUGUGCUUGCUUUCUCCCACUGAGGUAUUUUCCUGGUCCCUUAAAUCUUUUCUUUUUUGUGUGACCUACAAGGAAAUGUUGGAUUCUCCAACAGGAGAUCCUGAGUUCAGCCUCAUAUGUAAGAGUGGCACUCUGGUUCCACCCCCCCUUUAUUUUUUUUAGAAAACAAAUCUUGAAAAGAAAUUGAAAACCAGUAUUUCAGAUCAUUGAAAGUCUGUUAAAUUAGACUCAUUGAGAAACGCAAUUCACAAGUGGCAAUUAAUUUUUAGAUACAGCCUUUUGUGUAUUUCUCAGAC